GUGCCAGCCGCCGCGGUAAUACGGAGGGGUCAAGCGUUGUCCGGAUUUAUUGGGCGUAAAGAGCUCGUAGGCGGUUCAACAAGUCGGUCGUAAAAGUUUAGGGCUCAACCCUAAAAUGUCGAUCGAUACUGUUGUGACUAGGGUACGGUAGAGGUGAAUGGAAUUCCGAGUGUAGCAGUGAAAUGCGUGGAUAUCAGGAGGAACAUCAAUGGCGAAGGCAACUUACUGGACAUUUACUGACGCUCAGACACGAAGGCUAGGGUAGCGAAAGGGAUUAGAUA
rnacentral:rRNA from 1 species